rnacentral:piRNA from 1 species
UACAGGGGUUAUCUGAGAGGUGCUGCAGA